GACGAACGCUGGCGGCGUGCUUAACACAUGCAAGUCGAACGGAAAGGCCCUGCUUUUGUGGGGUGCUCGAGUGGCGAACGGGUGAGUAACACGUGAGUAACCUGCCCUUGACUUUGGGAUAACUUCAGGAAACUGGGGCUAAUACCGGAUAGGAGCUCCUGCUGCAUGGUGGGGGUUGGAAAGUUUCGGCGGUUGGGGAUGGACUCGCGGCUUAUCAGCUUGUUGGUGGGGUAGUGGCUUACCAAGGCUUUGACGGGUAGCCGGCCUGAGAGGGUGACCGGCCAAAUGGGAACUGGGAGACGGCCAGACUCCUACGGGAGGCAGCAGUGGGGAAUAUUGCACAAUGGGCGGAAGCCUGAUGCAGCAACGCCGCGUGCGGGAUGACGGCCUUCGGGUUGUAAACCGCUUUCGCCUGUGACGAAGCGUGAGUGACGGUAAUGGGUAAAGAAGCACCGGCUAACUACGUG
rnacentral:rRNA from 1 species